AUAGAGAAGCCCAUUUCCUUACAGGAAAAUAAAAAGUUAAUGGAAAUAGAAAAGACAUUAGGAAUUUAUACAGGUUCAGUCAAGAAGACUUAAUCAUGUUCCUGGGAUUUGAUCUUGAGAGUAUUUAGUAAUGCUUAAGAGCUUUUAGUAGGUUAAACUCUCGAAGCCCCUUAUAUAAGCACUACUACUAAAACACCUAUCACAACGGUUGGAAAAUGGAUACCAC
rnacentral:lncRNA from 1 species